CGUAAACGAUGAGUGCUAAGUGUUAGGGGGUUUCCGCCCCUUAGUGCUGCAGCUAACGCAUUAAGCACUCCGCCUGGGGAGUACGGUCGCAAGACUGAAACUCAAAGGAAUUGACGGGGGCCCGCACAAGCGGUGGAGCAUGUGGUUUAAUUCGAAGCAACGCGAAGAACCUUACCAGGUCUUGACAUCCCGCUGACCGGCCUAGAGAUAGGCUUUUCCCUUCGGGGACAGCGGUGACAGGUGGUGCAUGGUUGUCGUCAGCUCGUGUCGUGAGAUGUUGGGUUAAGUCCCGCAACGAGCGCAACCCUUGAUCUUAGUUGCCAGCAUUYAGUUGGGCACUCUAAGGUGACUGCCGGUGAUAAACCGGAGGAAGGUGGGGAUGACGUCAAAUCAUCAUGCCCCUUAUGACCUGGGCUACACACGUGCUACAAUGGACGGUACAGAGGGUCGCAACCCCGCGAGGGUGAGCAAAUCCCAUAAAACCGUUCUCAGUUCGGAUUGUAGGCUGCAACUCGCCUACAUGAAGCCGGAAUCGCUAGUAAUCGUGGAUCAGCAUGCCACGGUGAAUACGUUCCCGGGCCUUGUACACACCGCCCGUCACACCACGAGAGUUUGUAACACCCGAAGUCGGUGGGGUAACCCUUACGGGAGCCAGCCGCCGAAGGUGGGACAGAUGAUUGGGGUGAAGUCGUAACAAGGUAGCCGUAUCGGA
rnacentral:rRNA from 1 species